rnacentral:rRNA from 1 species
AUUGAACGCUGGCGGCAGGCUUAACACAUGCAAGUCGAGCGGGGUGAUGGUGCUUGCACUAUCACUUAGCGGCGGACGGGUGAGUAAUGCUUAGGAAUCUGCCUAUUAGCGGGGGACAACAUAUCGAAAGGGAUGCUAAUACCGCAUACGUCCUACGGGAGAAAGCAGGGGAUCACUUGUGACCUUGCGCUAAUAGAUGAGCCUACGUCGGAUUAGCUAGUUGGUGGGGUAAAGGCCUACCAAGGCGACGAUCUGUAGCGGGUCUGAGAGGAUGAUCCGCCACAAUGGGACUGAGACACGGCCCAGACUCCUACGGGAGGCAGCAGUGGGGAAUAUUGGACAAUGGGGGGAACCCUGAUCCAGCCAUGCCGCGUGUGUGAAGAAGGCCUUAUGGUUGUAAAGCACUUUAAGCGAGGAGGAGGCUCUUUUGGUUAAUACCCAAGAUGAGUGGACGUUACUCGCAGAAUAAGCACCGGCUAACUCUGUGCCAGCCGCCGCAGUAA